GGUUUGGACUCCAGGAACUAGGUGUAAGUCCUAGGCUCUGCCGGAACGGUUAUAGCCCGACACUGCCCAAACC
rfam:Candidatus Roizmanbacteria bacterium RIFCSPHIGHO2_01_FTLL_39_8 rifcsphigho2_01_scaffold_38523, whole genome shotgun sequence.